UACGUAGGCAGCAAGCGUUGUUCGGAGUUACUGGGCGUAAAGGGUGCGUAGGCGGCUUUUUAAGUUUGGUGUGAAAUCUCCCGGCCCAACUGGGAGGGUGCGCCGAAUACUGAGAGGCUAGAGUGUGGGAGAGGAAAGUGGAAUUCCUGGUGUAGCGGUGAAAUGCGUAGAUAUCAGGAGGAACACCGGUGGUGUAAACGGCUUUCUGGACCAUAACUGACGCUGAUGCACGAAAGCGUGGGUAGCAAACAGG
rnacentral:rRNA from 1 species